rnacentral:sRNA from 1 species
CCCGGCACUUCCGUGCCGGGCUUUCACAUGCCGCCGCUGCGCGGCU